rnacentral:ncRNA from 1 species
UCUUAUCAAGAGAAGCAGAGGGAAAUGGCCCAAUGAAGCUUCAGCAACCUCUAACAUCGGUUAGAAAGGUGCUAAUUCCAGCAAGACAAUAUUGUCUUGGGAGAUAAGA